rnacentral:rRNA from 1 species
GACGAACGCUGGCGGCGUGCUUAACACAUGCAAGUCGAACGGAAAGGCCCUGCUUUUGUGGGGUGCUCGAGUGGCGAACGGGUGAGUAACACGUGAGUAACCUGCCCUUGACUUUGGGAUAACUUCAGGAAACUGGGGCUAAUACCGGAUAGGAGCUCCUGCUGCAUGGUGGGGGUUGGAAAGUUUCGGCGGUUGGGGAUGAACUCGCGGCUUAUCAGCUUGUUGGUGGGGUAGUGGCUUACCAAGGCUUUGACGGGUAGCCGGCCUGAGAGGGUGACCGGCCACAUUGGGACUGAGAGACGGCCCAGACUCCUACGGGAGGCAGCAGUGGGGAAUAUUGCACAAUGGGCGGAAGCCUGAUGCAGCAACGCCGCGUGCGGGAUGACGGCCUUCGGGUUGUAAACCGCUUUCGCCUGUGACGAAGCGUGAGUGACGGUAAUGGGUAAAGAAGCACCGGCUAACUACGUG